GCAUAACUCCGGGAAACUGGGGAUAAUUCCGGAUAACGCACAUAUGCUGGAAUGCUUUAUGCGUAAAAUGGAUUCGUCUGCCCAAGGAUGGGUCUGCGGCCUAUCAGGUAGUAGUGGGUGUAAUGUACCUACUAGCCAACAACGGGUACGGGUUGUGAGAGCAAGAGCCCGGAGAUGGAUUCUGAGACAUGAAUCCAGGCCCUACGGGGCGCAGCAGGCGCGAAAACUUUACAAUGCGGGAAACCGUGAUAAGGGGACACCGAGUGCCAGCAUCAUAUGCUGGCUGUCCAGGUGUGUAAAAUACACCUGUUAGCAAGGGCCGGGCAAGACCGGUGCCAGCCGCCGCGGUAACACCGGCGGCCCGAGUGGUGAUCGUGAUUAUUGGGUCUAAAGGGUCCGUAGCCGGUUUGGUCAGUCCUCCGGGAAAUCUGACGGCUCAACCGUUAGGCUUUCGGGGGAUACUGCCAGGCUUGGAACCGGGAGAGGUAAGAGGUACUACAGGGGUAGGAGUGAAAUCUUGUAAUCCCUGUGAGACCACCUGUGGCGAAGGCGUCUUACCAGAACGGGUUCGACGGUGAGGGACGAAAGCUGGGGGCACGAACCGGAUUAGAUACCCGGGUAGUCCCAGCCGUAAACGAUGCUCGCUAGGUGUCAGGCAUGGCGCGACCGUGUCUGGUGCCGCAGGGAAGCCGUGAAGCGAGCCACCUGGGAAGUACGGCCGCAAGGCUGAAACUUAAAG
rnacentral:rRNA from 1 species